GCCAGUAUCAAUUGCCAGACACACAAGUGAAGAAGUCUUCAUAUUAUUCCAACUCCAGCCUUAGAGUCUUCUAGCUGAGGCUCCCUUCAUCACAGUAGAGAAAUAUACUGAGUUGGAGGCAAUGGUGGAAUUUGCAAGUGAAAGAUCUUUCCCCAUAGGCAUGAUACACUUGGGAAGAACCUAGAAUCUUACAAAGCAAGGAUCACAGAUACUGGUUCAGAUGGCACUGGAGCGCAGAAAUGAAUGGACACAGUUCCUGCCUUCAAGAAGCUCUCACUCCAGAUGGGUGGGGGAUGACCAAGUAAACAGUUAAUUACAGUACAAUAUGAGAGAAAGAGAGCACAAGCAGGGGGAGUGAC